rnacentral:rRNA from 1 species
GGACGAACGCUGGCGGCGUGCUUAACACAUGCAAGUCGAACGGAAAGGCCCUGCUUUUGUGGGGUGCUCGAGUGGCGAACGGGUGAGUAACACGUGAGUAACCUGCCCUUGACUUUGGGAUAACUUCAGGAAACUGGGGCUAAUACCGGAUAGGAGCUCCUGCUGCAUGGUGGGGGUUGGAAAGUUUCGGCGGUUGGGGAUGGACUCGCGGCUUAUCAGCUUGUUGGUGGGGUAGUGGCUUACCAAGGCUUUGACGGGUAGCCGGCCUGAGAGGGUGACCGGCCACAUUGGGACUGAGAUACGGCCCAGACUCCUACGGGAGGCAGCAGUGGGGAAUAUUGCACAAUGGGCGGAAGCCUGAUGCAGCAACGCCGCGUGCAGGAUGACGGCCUUCGGGUUGUAAACCGCUUUCGCCUGUGACGAAGCGUGAGUGACGGUAAUGGGUAAAGAAGCACCGGCUAACUACGUG